rnacentral:rRNA from 1 species
GAUGAACUCUGGCGGCAUGCCUAAUACAUGCAAGUCGAACGAGAGGAAGGAAAGCUUGCUUUCCUAAAUCUAGUGGCGAACGGGUGAGUAACACGUAGGUAACCUGCCCAUGUGCCCGGGAUAACUUCUGGAAACGGAUGCUAAAACCGGAUAGGUAGCAGACAAGCAUUUGACUGCUAUUAAAGUGGCUAAGGCCAUGAACAUGGAUGGACCUGCGGUGCAUUAGCUAGUUGGUGAGGUAACGGCCCACCAAGGCGACGAUGCAUAGCCGGCCUGAGAGGGCGGACGGCCACAUUGGGACUGAGACACGGCCCAAACUCCUACGGGAGGCAGCAGUAGGGAAUUUUCGUCAAUGGGGGGAACCCUGAACGAGCAAUGCCGCGUGAGUGAGGAAGGUCUUCGGAUCGUAAAGCUCUGUUGUAAGAGAAAAACGGCACUCAUAGGGAAUGAUGAGUGAGUGAUGGUAUCUUACCAGAAAGUCACGGCUAACUACGUGCCAGCAGCCGCGGUAAUACGUAGGUGGCGAGCGUUAUCCGGAAUGAUUGGGCGUAAAGGGUGCGUAGGUGGCAGAUCAAGUCUGGAGUAAAAGGUAUGGGCUCAACCCGUACUUGCUCUGGAAACUGAUCAGCUAGAGAACAGAAGAGGACGGCGGAACUCCAUGUGUAGCGGUAAAAUGCGUAGAUAUAUGGAAGAACACCGGUGGCGAAGGCGGCCGUCUGGUCUGGAUUCUGACACUGAAGCACGAAAGCGUGGGGAGCAAAUAGGAUUAGAUACCCUAGUAGUCCACGCCGUA